rnacentral:rRNA from 1 species
UACGUAGGGUGCAAGCGUUGUCCGGAAUUAUUAGGCGUAAAGAGCUCGUAGGCGGUCUGUCACGUCGGCUGUGAAAUCCCGAGGCUCAACCUCGGGUCUGCAGUCGAUACGGGCAAACUAGAGUAUUGCAGGGGAGACUGGAAUUCCUGGUGUAGCGGUGAAAUGCGCAGAUAUCAGGAGGAACACCGGUGGCGAAGGCGGGUCUCUGGGCAAUAACUGACGCUGAGGAGCGAAAGCGUGGGGGAGCAAACAGG